CCUACGGUAGGCAGCAGUGGGGAAUAUUGGACAAUGGGGGCAACCCUGAUCCAGCCAUGCCGCGUGUGUGAAGAAGGCCCUCGGGUUGUAAAGCACUUUCAGCGAGGAAGAACGCCUAGCGGUUAAUACCCGCUAGGAAAGACAUCACUCGCAGAAGAAGCACCGGCUAACUCCGUGCCAGCAGCCGCGGUAAUACGGAGGGUGCAAGCGUUAAUCGGAAUUACUGGGCGUAAAGCGCGCGUAGGUGGCUUGAUAAGCCGGUUGUGAAAGCCCCGGGCUCAACCUGGGAACGGCAUCCGGAACUGUCAAGCUAGAGUGCAGGAGAGGAAGGUAGAAUUCCCGGUGUAGCGGUGAAAUGCGUAGAGAUCGGGAGGAAUACCAGUGGCGAAGGCGGCCUUCUGGACUGACACUGACACUGAGGUGCGAAAGCGUGGGUAGCAAACAGGAUUAGAUACCCUGGUAGUCCACGCCGUAAACGAUGUCGACCAGCCGUUGGGUGCCUAGCGCACUUUGUGGCGAAGUUAACGCGAUAAGUCGACCGCCUGGGGAGUACGGCCGCAAGGUUAAAACUCAAAUGAAUUGACGGA
rnacentral:rRNA from 1 species